rnacentral:rRNA from 1 species
AAUCAACGCUGGCGGCGUGCCUAACACAUGCAAGUCGCACGAGAAAGUGGAGCAAUCCAUGAGUAAAGUGGCGCACGGGUGAGUAACACGUGAAUAAUCUACCUCCGAGUGGGGAAUAACUUAGGGAAACCUGAGCUAAUACCGCAUAACACUUACGAGUCAAAGCAGCAAUGCGCUUGGAGAGGAGUUCGCGGCAGAUUAGCUAGUUGGCGGGGUAAUGGCCCACCAAGGCGAUGAUCUGUAUCCGGCCUGAGAGGGCGCACGGACACACUGGAACUGAAACACGGUCCAGACUCCUACGGGAGGCAGCAGUGGGGAAUUUUGCGCAAUGGGGGAAACCCUGACGCAGCAACGCCGCGUGGAGGAUGAAAUCCCUUGGNAUGUAAACUCCUUUCGAUCGGGACGAUU